UACAGAGGAUGCAAGCGUUAUCCGGAAUGAUUGGGCGUAAAGCGUCCGCAGGUGGCUGUGUAAGUCUGCUGUCAAAGAGCGAAGCUCAACUUCGUAAAGGCAGUGGAAACUACACGGCUAGAGUGCGUUCGGGGCAGAGGGAAUUCCUGGUGUAGCGGUGAAAUGCGUAGAGAUCAGGAAGAACACCGGUGGCGAAGGCGCUCUGCUAGGCCGCAACUGACACUGAGGGACGAAAGCUAGGGGAGCGAACGGG
rnacentral:rRNA from 1 species